UGUAGAGGUUUCCUGGAUGCCACUGG
rnacentral:piRNA from 1 species